rnacentral:rRNA from 1 species
AGCGAACAUUGGCGGUAGGCUUAACACAUGCAAGUCGAGCGAGGCGUAAUAGUCGAGCGGCGAACGGGUGCGUAAUACAUGGGAAUCUACCUCGAAGUGGGGGAUAACGUUCAGAAAUGGACGCUAAUACCGCAUAAUCCAUAUUGGGAAAGCGUUGCAGCGCUUUGAGAUGAGCCCAUGGCUGAUUAGCUAGUUGGUGAGGUAAUGGCUCACCAAGGCGACGAUCAGUAGCUGGUCUGAGAGGAUGACCAGCCACACUGGAACUGAGACACGGUCCUGACUCCUACGGGAGGCAGCAGUGGGGAAUUUUGCGCAAUGGGGGCAACCCUGACGCAGCCAUACCGCGUGAGUGAUGAAGGUCUUCGGAUUGUAAAGCUCUUUCGGCGGGGACGACGAUGACGGUACCCGCAAAAGAAGUCACGGCUAACUUCGUGCCAGCCGCCGCGGUAA